AUGCCAUGGUGAGGGCAUUUUUGAAACAACUCCUUAAACCGCUCCCAUUCCAUGCAAUAAGGAUUCUUCAUCAAGUUGUUGAAAUGAAGUAAUCUCAUUGCGGAGCUU